UUGGUCCAUUAGAGGAAGUAAAAGUCGUAACAAGGUCUCCGUUGGUGAACCAGCGGAGGGAUCAUUACCGAGUUUACAACUCCCAAACCCAUGUGAACAUACCUACUGUUGCUUCGGCGGGAUUGCCCCGGGCGCCUCGUGUGCCCCGGAUCAGGCGCCCGCCUAGGAAACUUAACUCUUGUUUUAUUUUGGAAUCUUCUGAGUAGUUUUUACAAAUAAAUAAAAACUUUCAACAACGGAUCUCUUGGUUCUGGCAUCGAUGAAGAACGCAGCGAAAUGCGAUAAGUAAUGUGAAUUGCAGAAUUCAGUGAAUCAUCGAAUCUUUGAACGCACAUUGCGCCCGCCAGUAUUCUGGCGGGCAUGCCUGUCUGAGCGUCAUUUCAACCCUCAUGCCCCUAGGGCGUGGUGUUGGGGAUCGGCCAAAGCCCGCGAGGGACGGCCGGCCCCUAAAUCUAGUGGCGGACCCGUCGUGGCCUCCUCUGCGAAGUAGUGAUAUUCCGCAUCGGAGAGCGACGAGCCCCUGCCGUUAAACCCCCAACUUUCCAAGGUUGACCUCAGAUCAGGUAGGAAUACCCGCUGAACUUAAGCAUAUC
rnacentral:rRNA from 1 species